CAGCCGCCGCGGUAAUACCGGCGGCCCGAGUGGCGGUCACUAUUAUUGGGCUUAAAGCGUCCGUAGCCGGGUUGGGAAGUCCUCCGGGAAAUCUGGCCGCUUAACGGUCAGAAUGCCGGAGGAUACUCCCAGCCUAGGGGGCGGGAGAGGCCGAGGGGAUUCCCGGAGUAGGGGUGGAAUCCUAUAAUCCCGGGAGGACCACCUGUGGCGAAGGCGCUCGGCUGGAACGCGUCCGACGGUGAGGGACGAAGGCCAGGGGAGCAAACCGGAUUAGAUACCCGGGUAGUCCUGGCUGUAAACGAUGCGGACUUUGUGUCGGACAAGCUAUGAGCUUGUCCGGUGCCGGAGGGAAACCGUUAAGUCCGCCGCCUGGGGAGUACGGCCGCAAGGCUGAAACUUAAAGGAAUUGGCGGG
rnacentral:rRNA from 1 species